GACAUGCCCAAAUAACGUACAAGGACAACAUGAUGCUGCACCCCAUGGCCUUAAGUUGUGCUGGAGAGGUUCAGGUUGGAUAUUAGGAAACAUUUUUUUUCUGAAAGAGCAGUGAGGCAGUGGCACAGGCUUCCCAGGGAGUGGUGGAGUCACUGUGCCUGGAGGUGUAUGAGAAAAGUGUAGAUGUGGCACUGAGGGAUGUGGUUUAGAGCAGUCACAGGCAUGGGCUAGUUGGACUAGAUUCUCUUACUGGUCUUUCCAACCUUAAUGAUUCUGUCAUUCUGUGAUUCUAUGAGGUCCUGCCUGGUACCUGCCUUCAUGCUAUCACCUCUCUUCCUUAUGGCCUUGAUGAGAUUUUUGGGAGAAGGGAGGGGAGUUCUACCAUCUCUGAAGCAGAGAGAGAGAAAAAAAGAAAAGAUAAAAGGUACAGUUUCAAGACCCAGAAAGCAUGGUCUCCUGGGAUGAACCUGUGUGAUGUUUGGCUGUACUUGUGCAGAACGCUGUCUGUGAUUUCUGGGAAAGAAGAGGAGGAACCUGGCACAAAGUCCAAAAGGUCAGUGUACCACAUUCUUUUGUGAAUGGUGAGAUACGACAGCUAGAAUAAGAAGUCAGGCAACAAGAAGGCCAAGGAAGAAGGGAAAAAUCCUUGUAAUGUUUUGUACUAAUGUAGAACCGCUCAGAAAAGUGGCUUCACAAACAUCAGUAUCUUUGUGAUAGGAAUAAUACUUCCAGCACUACUGGGCAGAAAGCCGAGGGCAGGAGACAAAGUGCUCAGUGGAUAGGGAGAAGCCUAUGCUGCAUGAUGGGGUUAGGGAAAAAAGCAUGUGACGCAGAGGUGAGAAAACCUGCACCUGGGUCACUCAUAUUCAGUAGAGUGCUAUUUUUUUUGACAUUUUAUUUUAUUUUAUUUUAUUUAUUUUUUGCAUGGGUACAAAACAUUCAAAGCUAGAGGCUUGAACAAAUCAGAGCUCCUUCACGCACACACACACACACACACACAGUGUAGAAAUCAUUCUUCUUAACACCCCAGUGUGUGUUUAGACUAACAUUUUAUUAGAAAGGAAAAUGGAGAGACAGAGAGGAAGCUAAUGGCACCCUGGAUAGAGGAGAUCCUAUUAAGAACCCCUGCUGUAUAAAGUGUUGAAACUGUGUUGAGGGCUUCCUGAGCUGUUUCUAUUAAUACAACUGUGCUCAAGAGAAAAAUAAAUGGGCUUCUGGUUGGAAGGUCUCA
rnacentral:lncRNA from 1 species